rnacentral:rRNA from 1 species
AUUGAACGCUGGCGGCAGGCCUAACACAUGCAAGUCGAACGGUAACAGGGAUCAGCUUGCUGAUUCGCUGACGAGUGGCGGACGGGUGAGUAAUGUCUGGGAAACUGCCUGAUGGAGGGGGAUAACUACUGGAAACGGUAGCUAAUACCGCAUAACGUCGCAAGACCAAAGAGGGGGACCUUCGGGCCUCUUGCCAUCGGAUGUGCCCAGAUGGGAUUAGCUAGUAGGUGGGGUAACGGCUCACCUAGGCGACGAUCCCUAGCUGGUCUGAGAGGAUGACCAGCCACACUGGAACUGAGACACGGUCCAGACUCCUACGGGAGGCAGCAGUGGGGAAUAUUGCACAAUGGGCGCAAGCCUGAUGCAGCCAUGCCGCGUGCAUGAAGAAGGCCUUCGGGUUGUAAAGUACUUUCAGCGGGGAGGAAGGGAGUAAAGUUAAUACCUUUGCUCAUUGACGUUACCCGCAGAAGAAGCACCGGCUAACUCCGUG